rnacentral:rRNA from 1 species
CGAACGCCGGCGGCAGGCCUAAUACAUGCAAGUCGAACGGCUCUUCGGAGCAGUGGCGGACGGGUGAGUAACGCGUGGGAAUGUGCCCUUAGGUACGGAACAACACAGGGAAACUUGUGCUAAUACCGUAUGUGCCCUUCGGGGGAAAGAUUUAUCGCCUUUGGAGCAGCCCGCGUUGGAUUAGCUAGUUGGUGAGGUAAAGGCUCACCAAGGCGACGAUCCAUAGCUGGUCUGAGAGGAUGACCAGCCACACUGGGACUGGGACACGGCCCAGACUCCUACGGGAGGCAGCAGUAGGGAAUCUUGCGCAAUGGGCGAAAGCCUGACGCAGCCAUGCCGCGUGUAUGAUGAAGGUCUUAGGGUUGUAAAGAUCUUUCAGCUGGGAAGAUAAUGACGGUACCAGCAGAAGAAGCCCCGGCUAACUCCGUGCCAGCCGCCGCCGUAAUAC